GAUAGGGAGUCGAUCCCUGCUGCAGAAUACCGACACACCGGGAGGAGAAGCCGGGGCAGAGGAGACCAGUUCACGGCAGGUUUUUAAACACAAGAAGAAGAAGAAGUGUCGGGGGGAAAGAGUCGCGUGCUUUGCAAGAAAAAGAAGAGACAAACUCCUCCAGAAAGGAACUUUUUAAAACUCUGGAGACAGUCUGUCAGAGGGGGGACCUGCUUUGAAGAAGAGAGGGGCUCUCGCACGAAGGGACGGCAGAUUUCACCAGCAGAGAUUUGAGUUCAUCAGCCGAGAAAGAGAGGCGGUGAGCGGGUCACAGCCGGUGGAAUCCCCUCUGGGUCCUCGCAUCGCUUGUCGGGGCGUGUCUUUUUUUUUUUUUUUUUUUUUUUUGGUACAAAUCCCCCCAAAAAAGUUUAUCGAGUAUCUAUAGUCACUUUUAUUGUAGAAGUAUAAGCCAUGGUGGGGGAGACAGAGGUGAAGGAGCGACCCAAGUCCAACCCGGACUACUUAAUGCAGCUGAUGAACGACAGGAAGGUGAUGAGCUCCCUGCCCAACUUCAGCGGCAUCUUUACGCAUCUGGAGCGGCUCCUAGAUGAAGAGAUCGGCCGGGUACGCAAAGACAUGUACAAUGACACGGUCAACGGUGGCAUGUUCAACGGCCGAGACAUGGAGGAGCUUCCCGAAGCCAUCGGCCCCGUGGCUCAACUGCAGGAGAAGCUCUACGUGCCCGUCAAAGAGUACCCUGAUUUCAACUUUGUAGGGAGGAUUCUGGGUCCACGUGGGCUGACAGCCAAACAACUGGAGGCAGAGACCGGCUGCAAGAUUAUGGUGCGAGGAAAAGGCUCCAUGAGAGACAAGAAGAAGGAGGAGAUGAACCGAGGGAAGCCCAACUGGGAGCACCUCAGCGAGGACCUCCACGUCCUGAUCACAGUGGAGGACACACACAACCGGGCCAAGAUCAAGCUCCAGCGGGCCAUCAACGAGGUCAAGAAACUUCUCGUGCCCGCUGCCGAGGGGGAGGACAACCUGAAGAAAAUGCAGUUGAUGGAGCUGGCCAUUCUCAACGGGACCUACAGAGACGCCAAUGUCAAGACCCCCACCGGCUUCCCUCUAGCGUCCCCUCAGGCGCCUCGGAUCAUCACAGGCCCCACGCCCGUCCUGCCUCCCGCCUUGCGCAACCAAGCCCCUGUCACCACGCCGACCAUCAUGCCUCUGCUUCGUCAGAUCCAGAGCUCGGCCCUCGUGCCUGGAGGAAACCCGCACCCGGCGCUCGUUCAGCAAGGGCCCGAGUCUGGAAUCAUCUACACGCCCUACGACUACCCAUACACACUCACGCCCUCCAUAUUGGAAUACCCGAUUGACUCAACUGGAGUUUUAGGUAUGGCUUUCCCAACCAAAGGCUAAGCGAAUAGCAACCCCUCCUAGCACACACACGGACUGGCUUGCAGAGAUCCCCCCUCCCUCUCCCCUCCCCUCCCUACUCUCUCUCUCUUUUACCCCCCUUACAUACUUGUCCCACAGAGCAAACACUCAAAGUUUGCUCAUACUUUAGGAUGACAGAUUCCUCGACAGUCAUUCUGUAGUCAAGUGUCCAUUCCUGUUAAUUUCCUCUUUGUAUUAGCAGACUAGCGUUGUGGUGUGACAGCUAUUUAACUUUUUAUAAUAGAUCAGCUUCUGCUUGUAACUUUAACACUUUUUUAGUGAACCCAUAGAUAUUUUAGUGCCGCUGUUUGUGAUUUAAUACAUGUUAAAGCUUAUUUUAAUCACAGAGCUAUAGAGUGACUUUGCUUACAGCUGAUGUUGAAUCUACUAGUGAAGCUUAGUGUUAAAUUUAGUGGUUUGGAUUAAUAUUUUCUUUAGAGAACAGAAGACCACAAAACAACAAGAAAUUCUGUCUCAUAGAAGUUUUACUUAUUUUCACCCUCAGUUUAAACCUUUUUUUAAUUCCUGGUUUCACUGAUGUUGGUGCCAUGGGUGGACUGUUUGAUGUCUUUCUGAUGAGUAACCUUCUGUGUUCUGUUUUGGCGGAUGUCAAUGGCUGUAAGCAGGUGCCAUGACCUCUAAGGUACGACGCCACGACAAGAGAAUCCAUCCUUACCAAAGGGUAGUGACCCCAGACAGAGCUGCCACGGCAACUAACCCAUGACCCCUUGACCUUCUGACCUUUCCGCCCACUGAUGACCCACCCAUCUCUGCCCCGCUGGCGUGCUCAUUGGCCCACGGCCCCGCCACUUCCCCGCAGCUCAGCCAACCAGACCAGCACAUUGGGAACAACCCCGGCUGCUUCUGUCUAACCAGCCAACCAGACGACAGCGACCCCGGGAAUAAACCUCAGGACCCCGCCCACCACUGAGUCCUAACCUAAACUUUACCAAACGUGCCUUCACUUUAAGACUUCAAAGCCAGUCUGAGAAUGUUUUUAAAGCACUACAUCAUCUGUAGCUGCCAUUUAUUACCAGUUCGUGUCACUGGGGAUGGCCUCCAAACCAGUGAAGGGCUCCUAAACCAACCCUGACUGUGCCAAACUGUCUCCAAGCUGCCCUGCCCUCAGCCCAUGUGAUGCAAUAAUAAUGACUCUAUUAAUGCUAUAAAGAUAAUGAUGAUAACUGUUACUUAUCCAGCACAAAAAGCCCUCCAUACACACUAAACGUCAUGAGAUAUAAUGACUUUUAAAAGCUUUUUUCCCCAUUGGGCACCUCUUACUUUUCCAGACACUUAAAAUGAAGGGAUUGCGUUUAUUUAUUUCGUUAUAACACAUUAAAAUUGGUGAUAAAUAUUAAUAUAUUAACAAGCUUCUCCCCAAAAAUGUAACACCAACAUGUGAUUGUUUAAAAUGUCCCUUUUUUUAAAAGAUCCAGCAGAGAAAUUUCCACUUUUUCUUCCACACAUUUGAAUCAAAAGAAAGCUGAUGUUCUGAAGAGUUAAAUGCCAGCGCAGGAUCUUUUUAAUCACCACGAAGCAACAGGUGCUCAGUGAGGAAAAACUGGAAUCUGAAAUGCCCAAAGUGUCUUUGUGGAGUUUCAAUAUUAGGAAAAGCAUCCCAACACUUAAAGAGUAUAAAAUCAACAAGUGCACACACAAGGAAGGUUACAUUUCUUUUGUCUAAACCCAGCAGACUCACACAAUGGUGCCUUUUGCCUUUUUCACACUACAGUAUUGUACGAGUGCGAACAGCAGUGCCUUUCUUUUUUUAGAACAAGUUGAGCAAUGCUGCAACCUAAAUCUCCUACUACAGCAUGAAUUAUGUCAUUUACAUUCAGAUUCAUGCAGGCUGCAGGAAAUGCGUUCGCAGCUUGAUCAUCCUCAUCCAUAUCUCUUCUUGAUUCCGAGUUUGGUGCAAAAAAAAAAGAGUUGAAGGUGCAAAAGCAGUAUUAAAAAACGCAGCUAGAAGUCUGAGAUGUUUAUGUGAGGUUUUAACACCUCGAGAGAAAAGUGUUUUACUUUAUCUUUUUGUUUGUUUUUGUUUGUUUGGAAAUGAAGUCGUCCAUAUAUCUAUUUUUGCAUGUGUACUCACUUUUUUCAGAGGGUACAGUUUUACACACAGACACACAGAAACCAACCGAUGCCUUGUCUUUACAAAAAAGCAGAAGAAGAAGAAUCAUGGAGCGUAACAUCUGUAACAAGUUUAUAAUGUAUUUUUAUAUUCUAUUUUGUACCUGAAAAUAACAUUAAAUGACCUUUUCAGAUAAGAA